rnacentral:rRNA from 1 species
UACGGAGGGGGCUAGCGUUGUUCGGAAUUACUGGGCGUAAAGCGCACGUAGGCGGCUUUGUAAGUUAGAGGUGAAAGCCCGGGGCUCAACUCCGGAAUUGCCUUUAAGACUGCAUCGCUAGAAUUGUGGAGAGGUAAGUGGAAUUCCGAGUGUAGAGGUGAAAUUCGUAGAUAUUCGGAAGAACACCAGUGGCGAAGGCGACUUACUGGACACAUAUUGACGCUGAGGCUGCGAAAGCGUGGGGAGCAAACAGG